rnacentral:rRNA from 1 species
AGAUUGAACUGAAGAGUUUGAUCCUGGCUCAGAUUGAACGCUAGCGGGAUGCCUUACACAUGCAAGUCGAACGGCAGCACGGACUUCGGUCUGGUGGCGAGUGGCGAACGGGUGAGUAAUGUAUCGGAACGUGCCCAGUAGCGGGGGAUAACUACGCGAAAGCGUAGCUAAUACCGCAUACGCCCUACGGGGGAAAGCAGGGGAUCUUCGGACCUUGCACUAUUGGAGCGGCCGAUAUCGGAUUAGCUAGUUGGUGGGGUAACGGCCUACCAAGGCGACGAUCCGUAGCUGGUUUGAGAGGACGACCAGCCACACUGGGACUGAGACACGGCCCAGACUCCUACGGGAGGCAGCAGUGGGGAAUUUUGGACAAUGGGGGAAACCCUGAUCCAGCCAUCCCGCGUGUGCGAUGAAGGCCUUCGGGUUGUAAAGCACUUUUGGCAGGAAAGAAACGUCGCGGGCUAAUACC